rnacentral:rRNA from 1 species
AGUGAACGCUGGCGGUAGGCCUAACACAUGCAAGUCGAACGGCAGCACAGUAAGAGCUUGCUCUUACGGGUGGCGAGUGGCGGACGGGUGAGGAAUACAUCGGAAUCUACUUUUUCGUGGGGGAUAACGUAGGGAAACUUACGCUAUUACCGCAUACGACCUACGGGUGAAAGCAGGGGAUCUUCGGACCUUGCGCGAUUGAAUGAGCCGAUGUCGGAUUAGCUAGUUGGCGGGGUAAAGGCCCACCAAGGCGACGAUCCGUAGCUGGUCUGAGAGGAUGAUCAGCCACACUGGAACUGAGACACGGUCCAGACUCCUACGGGAGGCAGCAGUGGGGAAUAUUGGACAAUGGGCGCAAGCCUGAUCCAGCCAUACCGCGUGGGUGAAGAAGGCCUUCGGGUUGUAAAGCCCUUUUGUUGGGAAAGAAAAGCAGCAGGUUAAUACCCCGCUGUUCUGACGGUACCCAAAGAAUAAACACCGGCUAACUUCGC